GAGGAAUAUCAGGCACACUGGAACUGAGACACGGUCCAGACUCCUACGGGAGGCAGCAGUGGGGAAUAUUGGACAAUGGGCGAAAGCCUGAUCCAGCCAUGCCGCGUGUGUGAAGAAGGUCUUCGGAUUGUAAAGCACUUUAAGUUGGGAGGAAGGGCAGUUACCUAAUACGUGAUUGUUUUGACGUUACCGACAGAAUA
rnacentral:rRNA from 1 species